rnacentral:rRNA from 1 species
UAAGAACCCGGUGACAGGUGCUGCAUGGCUGUCGUCAGCUCGUGUCGUGAGAUGUUGGGUUAAGUCCCGCAACGAGCGCAACCCUCGCCUUAGUUGCCAGCAUUCAGUUGGGCACUCUAGAGGGACUGCCGGUGUCAAACCGGAGGAAGGUGGGGAUGACGUCAAGUCCUCAUGGCCUUUAUGUCUAGGGCUACACACGUACUACAAUGGCCGGUACAAAGGGCAGCCACUCAGCGAUGAGGCGCUAAUCCCAUAAAGCCGGUCUCAGUCCGGAUCGCAGUCUGCAACUCGACUGCGUGAAGUUGGAAUCGCUAGUAAUCGUAGAUCAGCAUGCUGCCGUGAAUACGUUCCCGGGUCUU